rnacentral:rRNA from 1 species
AGGGUUCGAUUCUGGCUCAGGAUGAACGCUGGCGGCGUGCUUAACACAUGCAAGUCGAACGAAGCCAAAAGGAAGCUUGCUUCUUGAAGCUUAGUGGCGGACGGGUGAGUAACGCGUGAGGAACCUGCCCUUCAGUGGGGAAUAACAGCCGGAAACGACUGCUAAUACCGCAUAACGUCGAAGAGCCGCAUGACUUUUCGACCGAAGGAUUUAUUCGCUGAAGGAUGGCCUCGCGUCCGAUUAGGCAGUUGGUGAGGUAACGGCCCACCAAACCUACGAUCGGUAGCCGAACUGAGAGGUUGAUCGGCCACAUUGGGACUGAGACACGGCCCAGACUCCUACGGGAGGCAGCAGUGGGGAAUAUUGGGCAAUGGGGACCGAAAGCCUGACCCAGCAACGCCGCGUGAAGGAAGACGGUCUUCGGAUUGUAAACUUCUUUGAUUGGGGAAGAAUAAAAUGACCUACCCAAAGAACAAGUCACGGCUAACUACGUGCCAGCCGCCGC